rnacentral:rRNA from 1 species
UUGAACGCUGGCGGCAGGCCUAACACAUGCAAGUCGAACGGUAACAGGAAGAAGCUUGCUUCUUUGCUGACGAGUGGCGGACGGGUGAGUAAUGUCUGGGAAACUGCCUGAUGGAGGGGGAUAACUACUGGAAACGGUAGCUAAUACCGCAUAACGUCGCAAGACCAAAGAGGGGGACCUUCGGGCCUCUUGCCAUCGGAUGUGCCCAGAUGGGAUUAGCUAGUAGGUGGGGUAACGGCUCACCUAGGCGACGAUCCCUAGCUGGUCUGAGAGGAUGACCAGCCACACUGGAACUGAGACACGGUCCAGACUCCUACGGGAGGCAGCAGUGGGGAAUAUUGCACAAUGGGCGCAAGCCUGAUGCAGCCAUGCCGCGUGUAUGAAGAAGGCCUUCGGGUUGUAAAGUACUUUCAGCGGGGAGGAAGGGAGUAAAGUUAAUACCUUUGCUCAUUGACGUUACCCGCAGAAGAAGCACCGGCUAACUCCGUGCCAGCAGCCGCGGUAAUACGGAGGGUGCAAGCGUUAAUCGGAAUUACUGGGCGUAAAGCGCACGCAGGCGGUUUGUUAAGUCAGAUGUGAAAUCCCCGGGCUCAACCUGGGAACUGCAUCUGAUACUGGCAAGCUUGAGUCUCGUAGAGGGGGGUAGAAUUCCAGGUGUAGCGGUGAAAUGCGUAGAGAUCUGGAGGAAUACCGGUGGCGAAGGCGGCCCCCUGGACGAAGACUGACGCUCAGGUGCGAAAGCGUGGGGAGCAAACAGGAUUAGAUACCCUGUUAGUCCACGCCGUAAACGAUGUCGACUUGGAGGUUGUGCCCUUGAGGCGUGGCUUCCGGAGCUAACGCGUUAAGUCGACCGCCUGGGGAGUACGGCCGCAAGGUUAAAACUCAAAUGAAUUGACGGGGGCCCGCACAAGCGGUGGAGCAUGUGGUUUAAUUCGAUGCAACGCGAAGAACCUUACCUGGUCUUGACAUCCACGGAAGUUUUCAGAGAUGAGAAUGUGCCUUCGGGAACCGUGAGACAGGUGCUGCAUGGCUGUCGUCAGCUCGUGUUGUGAAAUGUUGGGUUAAGUCCCGCAACGAGCGCAACCCUUAUCCUUUGUUGCCAGCGGUCCGGCCGGGAACUCAAAGGAGACUGCCAGUGAUAAACUGGAGGAAGGUGGGGAUGACGUCAAGUCAUCAUGGCCCUUACGACCAGGGCUACACACGUGCUACAAUGGCGCAUACAAAGAGAAGCGACCUCGCGAGAGCAAGCGGACCUCAUAAAGUGCGUCGUAGUCCGGAUUGGAGUCUGCAACUCGACUCCAUGAAGUCGGAAUCGCUAGUAAUCGUGGAUCAGAAUGCCACGGUGAAUACGUUCCCGGGCCUUGUACACACCGCCCGUCACACCAUGGGAGUGGGUUGCAAAAGAAGUAGGUAGCUUAACCUUCGGGAGGGCGCUUACCACUUUGUGAUUCAUGACUGGGGUG